AUGGAUAGCGUGACGACCUUUUUCGCUUGGUGGGCGCUCGCGGCCGACACCUCGCCGAGCGGCCUGCGUAAAGGGCUCAACUCCAUCAUCACUCUGACCGCUUGGGCCAUCUGGAAGCACCGCAACGCCGUCAUCUUCGACGGCCUUCACCCCUCUACCGAUGAUCUUGUGCUCUCCAUCCAAGAUGACGCUCGCCUAUGGGCUAAGGCCGGCGCCAAGGGACUAGCCGCUACUAUUCCUGCAACCUGA
rnacentral:rRNA from 1 species